AUCGCUUCUCGGCCUUUUGGCUAAGAUCAAAGUGUAGUAUCUGUUCUUAUCAGCUUAAUAUCUGAUACGGGUUCAAAUGAACCCCAGAAUAUUAAACUGAUUUUUGGAAUUCGGUGGGAUGUCAAUGCUUGCAUUGAUCCUGCCACAGGUUGACCCAGUAUUGCAGUACCUCCGGGCUCGGCUCACCCCUU
rnacentral:snRNA from 1 species